AUUCAGCGAUAGGAUUCGAACCCACAGUGUUCCGCAUACCGGGCAGAUGCCAUGUCCACUAGGCUACCCUAGA
rnacentral:tRNA from 1 species